UGCGCAGGUGGCAAUAUAAGUCAGUGGUGAAAGGCUGCCGCUUAACGGUAGGACUGCCAUUGAUACUGCAUUGCUUGAGUAUGGUUGAGGUAGGCGGAAUGUGUGGUGUAGCGGUGAAAUGCAUAGAUAUCACACAGAACACCGAUUGCGAAGGCAGCUUACUAAGCCAUUACUGACGCUGAGGCACGAAAGCGUGGGUAGCGAACAGGAUUAGAUACCCUGGUAGUC
rnacentral:rRNA from 1 species